AUGGUAUUGAAGCAUUCACGAAAAAUGGAUUUAAAUCUUGGAAGGAUGGACCUAAAGUUUUUAAUCAGCAUGUUGGCAAGCAUGAUAGUGCUCACAAUAAAGCUAGACAACAUUAUGUUGAUUUCAAAAAUCAAAGACAAAAUCUGCCACAUGUGUCUGAUAGGGGCUCUAAGAAGAAAGAAGAAGAAUACAAAGCUCGUAUCUUCAUUAUAUUGGGCAUUGUCAAAAGAAUUAUACUACAAGCUCUUGCUUUUCGUGGUCAUGAUGGGUUUGCUAGCUCAAUGA
rnacentral:rRNA from 1 species